UGGCUCAGUCGGUAGAGCAUGGCACUUCUAAUGCCAGAGUUGUGGGUUUGAUUCCCAU
rnacentral:tRNA from 1 species